rnacentral:rRNA from 1 species
GCGGGAAAUGGAAGUACGUGUUAACAGGAGCAGCAGCCGCGGUAUACGGGAGCCAGCAGCCGCGGUUAUACGGGAGGAGCACCCGCGGUAAUUGAGGAGCCUGGCCCUUGACAGUACCUGACCAGAAAGCCACGGUUAACUAGGUGCCAGCAGCCGCGGUAAUACGGGAGCCAGCAGCCGC